rnacentral:rRNA from 1 species
UACGUAGGGUGCGAGCGUUGUCCGGAAUUAUUGGGCGUAAAGAGCUUGUAGGCGGUUUGUCGCGUCUGCUGUGAAAAUCCGGGGCUCAACCCCGGACUUGCAGUGGGUACGGGCAGACUAGAGUGUGGUAGGGGAGACUGGAAUUCCUGGUGUAGCGGUGGAAUGCGCAGAUAUCAGGAGGAACACCGAUGGCGAAGGCAGGUCUCUGGGCCACUACUGACGCUGAGGCACGAAAGCGUGGGGAGCAAACAGG